CAAGCUAUGGCAGGUGCUCUCAAUGUUGUACAAACAUCUCAUUCGUAUGGGGAUUUAAUGCUCCUAAUGAAAGCUGCUGAACUGCAACAAGAAAGGCCCUGGAGUUAUAUGGUUGAAAUGGUCAGGAUUGAAUCGCUGGACUGCAAAGCAACAUGUGGCUAGCAGCAUGGUUGGCUGUCGAACUUGGUGAUAAUGCUUGGUGUGCAAAACUGAAGCUGAACCAGAUGAAGCAAUCAACUUUGGAUGUUUUGUUCUUUUGUAAUUUAGUUUAGUUCAACUUUAACUAGUUUCCAAAGUUAGUUGGAUUAAGUUUGUGAUUGGAUUGAUGAUGUAAAAGCUGGUAUGUCAGCUUAUUUUGUAUUUGACUUAAGCUUGUAUUAGUUUAGUUUAAG